rnacentral:miRNA from 1 species
UGAGGACCCGAAACACACUUGU